rnacentral:rRNA from 1 species
GACGAACCGUGCGAACGUUGUUCGGAAUUACUGGGCGUAAAGGGCUCGUAGGUGGCCAACUAAGUCAGACGUGAAAUCCCUCAGCUUAACUGGGGAACUGCGUCUGAUACUGGAUGGCUUGAGAUUGGGAGAGGGAUGCGGAAUUCCAGGUGUAGCGGUGAAAUGCGUAGAUAUCUGGAGGAACACCGGUGGCGAAGGCGGCAUCCUGGACCGGUAUUGACGCUGAGGCGCGAAAGCUAGGGGAGCAAACGGG